rnacentral:rRNA from 1 species
GAACGGCGUGAGCCAGUUCGGUCCCUAUCCACUGCGCGCGCAGGAUAUUUGAGAGGAGUCGUUCCUAGUACGAGAGGACCGGAAUGAACUGACCUCUGGUGUACCAGUUGUUCCGCCAGGAGCAUAAGCUGGGUAGCUACGUCGGGAAGGGAUAAGCGCUGAAAGCAUCUAAGCGCCAAGCCCACCUCAAGAUUAGAUAUCCCAUGGCAUAAGCCAGUAAGACCCCCGGAAGAGAAUCGGGUCGAUAGGCCGCAAUUGUAAGCACGGUAACGUGUUCAGAUAAGCGGUACUAAUAGGUCGAGGGCUUAACUAAA